rnacentral:rRNA from 1 species
GGUGAGUAACGCGUGAGAAUCUGGCUUCAGGUCUGGGACAACCACUGGAAACGGUGGCUAAUACCGGAUGUGCCGAGAGGUGAAAGGUUAACUGCCUGAAGAUGAGCUCGCGUCUGAUUAGCUAGUAGGUGUGGUAAGAGCGCACCUAGGCGACGAUCAGUAGCUGGUCUGAGAGGAUGAUCAGCCACACUGGGACUGAGACACGGCCCAGACUCCUACGGGAGGCAGCAGUGGGGAAUUUUCCGCAAUGGGCGAAAGCCUGACGGAGCAAUACCGCGUGAGGGAGGAAGGCUCUUGGGUCGUAAACCUCUUUUCUCAGGGAAGAACACAAUGACGGUACCUGAGGAAUAAGCAUCGGCUAACUCCGUGCCAGCAGCCGCGGUAAUACGGAGGAUGCAAGCGUUAUCCGGAAUGAUUGGGCGUAAAGCGUCCGCAGGUGGCUAUGUAAGUCUGCUGUUAAAGAGUGAGGCUCAACCUCAUAAGAGCAGUGGAAACUACAUGGCUAGAGUGCGUUCGGGGCAGAGGGAAUUCCUGGUGUAGCGGUGAAAUGCGUAGAGAUCAGGAAGAACACCGGUGGCGAAAGCGCUCUGCUAGGCCGCAA